AUUGAACGCUGGCGGCAUGCCUUACACAUGCAAGUCGAACGGCAGCACGGGUGCUUGCACCUGGUGGCGAGUGGCGAACGGGUGAGUAAUACAUCGGAACAUGUCCUGUAGUGGGGGAUAGCCCGGCGAAAGCCGGAUUAAUACUGCAUCCGAUCUACGUUUGACAUCGGGGGACCUUCGGGCCUCGGGCAUUAGGGCUGGCCGAUGGCUGAUUAGCUAGUUGGUGGGGUAAAGGCCUACCAAGGCGACGAUCAGUAGCUGGUCUGAGAGGACGACCAGCCACACUGGGACUGAGACACGGCCCAGACUCCUACGGGAGGCAGCAGUGGGGAAUUUUGGACAAUGGGCGAAAGCCUGAUCCAGCAAUGCCGCGUGUGUGAAGAAGGCCUUCGGGUUGUAAAGCACUUUUGUCCGGAAAGAAAUCCUUGGCCCUAAUACGGUCGGGGGAUGACGGUACCGGAAGAAUAAGCACCGGCUAACUACGUG
rnacentral:rRNA from 1 species